UACGUAGGGUGCGAGCGUUGUCCGGAAUUAUUGGGCGUAAAGAGCUCGUAGGCGGUCUGUCGCGUCGGUCGUGAAAAACUUGGGGCUUAACCCUGAGCUUGCGGUCGAUACGGGCAUGACUGGAGUUCGGUAGGGGGAGACUGGAAUUCCUGGUGUAGCGGUGAAAUGCGCAGAUAUCAGGAGGAACACCGGUGGCGAAGGCGGGUCUCUGGGCCGAUACUGACGCUGAGGAGCGAAAGCGUGGGGAGCGAACAGG
rnacentral:rRNA from 1 species